GAGCMARUCAUAAAAAAUASSACUCGACUACUUUGAAAUAUUUUCAUCUUCCAUCUCUAUUUUGCCAAUUUGUUUAUACAACAUAGAAUAAUAUAUAUCUUUGUUUAAUCCAUGUCAAUAUAUAUUUUAUUUUUUAUAUUAUUCGAAUAAAACAUUCAAAAACAUGAACAUCUAAAAACAUAAAAAAUAAAAUCAAUGUUUAAAGUAUAAAAUAAAAACCCUGGCAAUAACUUACUCUCCCGCGAACUCGCAGUACCAUCAGCGAAUAAGAGCUA
rnacentral:misc_RNA from 1 species